rnacentral:rRNA from 1 species
UAAGGAAUAUUGGUCAAUGGACGCAAGUCUGAACCAGCCAUGCCGCGUGAAGGAUUAAGGCCCUCUGGGUUGUAAACUUCUUUUAUAGGGGAAGAAAUGUGACGGUUCUCCGUCACUUGACGGUACCCUGGGAAUAAGCACCGGCUAACUACGUGCCAGCAGCCGCGGUAAUACGUAGGACCCAAGCGUUGUCCGGAUUUACUGGGUGUAAAGGGUGCGCAGGCGGAUGGGUAAGUCAGGGGUGAAAGUCUGCAGCUUAACUGUAGAAUUGCCUUUGAUACUGCUCAUCUUGAGUGUGGGAGAGGUUGAUGGAAUUCCAGGUGUAGCAGUGAAAUGCGUAGAUAUCUGGAAGAACACCAGUGGCGAAGGCGGUCAACUGGCCCAUAACUGACGCUCAUGCACGAAAGCGUGGGGAGCAAACA